UACGUAGGGUGCAAGCGUUGUCCGGAAUCACUGGGCGUAAAGGGCGCGUAGGCGGCUCAUGAAGGCUGUGGUGAAAGUCCGGGGCUCAACCUCGGAUCGGCCGUGGCGACUCGUGGGCUGGAGCACUGUAGAGGCGGGUGGAAUUCCGGGUGUAGCGGUGGAAUGCGUAGAGAUCCGGAAGAACACCAGUGGCGAAGGCGGCCCGCUGGGCAGUGGCUGACGCUGAAGCGCGACAGCGUGGGGAGCAAACAGG
rnacentral:rRNA from 1 species